CUGUAGUAGAGGAGGAGGGGUUAUAGGUGUCUGUAGUAGAGGAGGAGGGGUUAUAGGUGUCUGUAGUAGAGGAGGAGGGUUAUAGGUGUCUGUAGUAGAGGAGGAGGGUUAUAGGUGUCUGUAGUAGAGGAGGAGGAGGGUUAUAGGUGUCUGUAGUAGAGGAGGAGGGUUAUAGGUGUCUGUAGUAGAGGAGGAGGGUUAUAGGUGUCUGUAGUAGAGGAGGAGGAGGGUUAUAGGUGUCUGUAGUAGAGGAGGAGGGUUAUAGGUGUCUGUAGUAGAGGAGGAGGGGUUAUAGGUGUCUGUAGUAGAGGAGGAGGGUUAUAGGUGUCUGUAGUAGAGGAGGAGGAGGGGUUAUAGGUGUCUGUAGUAGAGGAGGAGGGUUAUAGGUGUCUGUAGUAGAGGAGGGGGGUUAUAGGUGUCUGUAGUAGAGGAGGAGGAGGGGUUAUAGGUGUCUGUAGUAGAGGAGGAGGGGUUAUAGGUGUCUGUAGUAGAGGAGGAGGGGGGGUUAUAGGUGUCUGUAGUAGAGGAGGAGGAGGGGUUAUAGGUGUCUGUAGUAGAGGAGGAGGAGGGGUUAUAGGUGUCUGUAGUAGAGGAGGAGGAGGGGUUAUAGGUGUCUGUAGUAGAGGAGGAGGAGGGGUUAUAGGUGUCUGUAGUAGAGGAGGAGGAGGGGUUAUAGGUGUCUGUAGUAGAGGAGGAGGGGUUAUAGGUGUCUGUAGUAGAGGAGGAGGGUUAUAGGUGUCUGUAGUAGAGGAGGAGGGGUUAUAGGUGUCUGUAGUAGAGGAGGGUUAUAGGUGUCUGUAGUAGAGGAGGAGGGGUUAUAGGUGUCUGUAGUAGAGGAGGAGGGGUUAUAGGUGUCUGUAGUAGAGGAGGAGGAGGGUUAUAGGUGUCUGUAGUAGAGGAGGAGGGGUUAUAGGUGUCUGUAGUAGAGGAGGAGGGGUUAUAGGUGUCUGUAGUAGAGGAGGAGGGUUACAGGUGUCUGUAGUAGAGGAGGAGGAGGGUUAUAGGUGUCUGUAGUAGAGGAGGGGAGGGGUUAUAGGUGUCUGUAGUAGAGGAGAGGAGGGUUAUAGGUGUCUGUAGUAGAGGAGGAGGAGGGGUUAUAGGUGUCUGUAGUAGAGGAGGAGGAGGGGUUAUAGGUGUCUGUAGUAGAGGAGGAGGAGGGGUUAUAGGUGUCUGUAGUAGAGGAGGAGGGGUUAUAGGUGUCUGUAGUAGAGGAGGAGGGGUUAUAGGUGUCUGUAGUAGAGGAGUCAGGGGUUAUAGGUGUCUGUAGUAGAGGAGGAGGGGUUAUAGGUGUCUGUAGUAGAGGAGGAGGGGUUAUAGGUGUCUGUAGUAGAGGAGGAGGAGGGUUAUAGGUGUCUGUAGUAGCGAGGGGGUCCAUAGUGCAUGGGCAUGUUGACGUCUAUAUUGUUCAGGUUGUUGUUGACCUGGUUGGGGGGUGG
ensembl:lncRNA